UACGUAGGGUGCAAGCGUUGUCCGGAAUUAUUGGGCGUAAAGAGCUCGUAGGCGGCUUGUUGCGUCAGCUGUGAAAACCGCAGCUCAACUGUGGGCUUGCAGCUGAUACGGGCAGGCUUGAGUUCGGUAGGGGAGACUGGAAUUCCUGGUGUAGCGGUGAAAUGCGCAGAUAUCAGGAGGAACACCAGUGGCGAAGGCGGCUUACUGGACCGGUUCUGACGCUGAGGCGCGAAAGCGUGGGGAGCAAACAGG
rnacentral:rRNA from 1 species